GCUGGAGUGGGAAGUGGCCCCAGCACACAGAGGACCAAGGAAGAAGAAAUGCUGCCUGCCUGCUCUGAUUCUUGCUGCUCACUGAUGACCUUGUUGAGCCGAUCAUCGUCCGCUUCGAUGCCCACGCUGCCUAGUAUUUUCUUGAUGUCUUUGGCGCUAGGAGAGGAGUUGCCCCCGAGGGCGGCCAGCAGAAUCGCUGCUGUGGACUCGAACUCGCUGCUGCACGGAGGAUGCAAUUUUCAAGCUGUCUUUCUUUGUGAACGUCUUCUCCAUAGCUCCAGGUUUCCACAGCAAUAGCUGUGCAUCUUCACCUCCGGUCAGCAGAGAAUCCUCAGACACGUUCCAACAGAAAGAACGGACGGUGGCUGCAUGGCCCCCAUGAAGGCUGGUCACAUGGGUCAGUCCUGCCGAGGUGCAGCUCAGUAGGUGAAUCUUUCCGGUGUUGGUUCCUCCAAUAACAAACAGUCUGUCCAUCUUCUCAUGAUACAGGCCACCAAUCAGAUAGUCCAAGUGCCCAUCUUUCACAUCGGUUAUUUCUCUUACAUCCUGGAUGUUCAAACACGUGAUCGGUUCAUCUGUAUCCAGAUGAUUGAGAUCCCACCAACAAAACCCUUCAUCGUGUGUCAUGCAGUAGAUUUGCUUAUAAUCUUUUCCACACCAACCGAUACAGCUCACUGAUGAAACGGAGUUACAGGUGGCAACCAGUGCGUCCUCUUCCUUAUCAGCACUGAGAUCAAACACAUUGACCAGACCAUCAGUGGACCCUGAGACAACCAAGUUGGGAUUGCUGGGAUGGAAACGCACUUGAGUGAUAUCAUCACUGUGCGUCUCUGAGUAGGCACCAAGUGGGUCUCUCGUCGACAGAUCCUGAGAUGUGAACCUUGCAUCCCAAAAUACCAACAAUGCAUCCUCGUCAACUUUCUCUGCACCAGCACAAAUGACAUGAUCUUUGCAGUUGACAUCAAAGCUGAUGAAACUACAGGAAGGGUAACCCUUGAACAACUGCACAGGCUUUUCGCUAGCUCCCCGAGCGUCCCAACACUUCACGGUGCCAUCUGUGCUUGCAGAGUAGACACUGUCACAGGAAUUUGCAAAGCUGACUCCACUAAGAAGCCCGGGAGAGCCACCAAAUUCUCGUAGCAGAUGUAGUGUCUCCUUAUCAUAUAUUCUUAUCGACCCAUUUGAGCACAGAACAGCCACCAAGCCUCCUUUGUCUGCUUGUACAGUCUUUGACGUGUCUAUGCCAAGCAGUCAAGGUUCUCAUGUGGCCCAAGACGACGUCAAACUCCCGCUGCAGUGGAAGCUGGCCUUGAACUUUUGAUCUUGCCUCUAUCUUCCGAGUAUCUCGGGCAUGGCCCACUGCAUCUAGCUCUGCCUGCAUGUUUUCCGUGGUACUUCUCAGCAAGGAAUACUUUUGGUGCCCUUGAGUGCCAACUCCUAGAAUUACAGCCAGCUAGUAGAAUCCUAUCGGUAUAGACAGCUCUCCCAUCUUCAUGCUUAUGAUGAUUUUAGUUCUGUUGCUCUAGUGGACGCCACAGUGCCCUGGUCAGAACCUUUUCAGCCGAGCCUAUCUCUCACAGUAUCUGCAUGAGUCACUCCUUCCUAUUCAGGUCACAGUGUACAGAAGUCACCCCCACUGACACCCUGACCACCAACCAUCCUAAAGAGGCCCCUCUGGUUCCCUAACACGCUGCCCAUUUAUUCAAUCUUACUUUUUAUUUAUUUAUUUUUCUUGAGACAGCCUUUUUUAUACUAAUUAUGUCCAGACCUUGUCAUUGUUGCUAAGACUAAGCAACUAGUUAUAUAAUAUUUACAUCCAAAAAGAGGGGCCACAAGCACCCUCUGGGUGUUGGCAUCUGUGGGAAUCCUCGACUGUGCUGCUUUUUCUGAGAGACAACUGUAUUCAUUGUAUUCUCAAUCUUGUUUAUAAAAUUCAUUAACUAGAGUGAUAAUUUCAUAAUUUACUAAUGACACAAUCUAAUUUUAAUAGAAUAGGGAAAACAGUAGACAAAUGCUUUUGGGCUUGAAUGAUGUUAGAAUAACAUGGGCAUUGCUGACCAUUCUCAGCUUCAUGAUAAAAUUAAAACAAAGUAGUUGUAUCACUCUAUUUCUAUGAAAUGCUCAGGAUUCACACACACACACACACACGUCAGUUGGUAGGUGUUUGACUAGCGGAGCACCUGAUUUCUAGCACCUGUAAUCCCAGCACUCUGGGCUGAGGCAGGGACACCCAGGGGUCAAGACUAGCCUCAGCUACAUGGUGAGUUCAAGGUCUGCUUGGGUUACAGGAUACCCUAUU
rnacentral:lncRNA from 1 species